AAGUCGUAACAAGGUAUCUGUAGGUGAACCUGCUGAUGGAUCAUUAUGAACUAGGCCGUGAGUGAGCGAAGCGAACGAGCGGCCGAUCUACCUGUGAAUUACCAUGUUUGGGUGGUUCGAGCAGCGAGACCGAAGGUCGAGAUGCGAGAGGAAUACUGAUCUCGAUCAGCAUUACCACCCACUAUUACCAUAUCCCGUCUGAGUAUAAAUAAAGUAAAAA
rnacentral:misc_RNA from 1 species